rnacentral:snoRNA from 1 species
CUGCUGAGCAAUGUCUGCAGACAGCUGCUUCCUCGGGAGUGUACGUAACCUGCUGUUUGUACAGGUGGCCCUAAGCAACCUUGGAGAGUUUU